AACGUGGUGGAUUACUGUGAAGUUCUGGGCAUGCAGAGACAUGCCACACCUGAGGACAUUAAAAAGGCGUAUCAGAAACGGGCACUUAAAUGGCAUCCAAACAAAAAUUCUGAAAAUAAAGAAGCAGCAGAGCGGAAAUUCAAGCAAGUAGCUGAGGCAUAUAAAGUCUUAUCCGAUGCAAAAAAGCAGGACAUCUAUGACACAUACGGCAAAGAAGAAUUAAACGGUGGUGGAGGAGGAGGUGGAAGUCAUUUUGACAGUCCGUUUGAGUUUGGCUUCACACUCCAGAAUCCAGAUGAUGUCUUCAGGGAAUUUUUUGGUGGGAGGGACCCAUUUUCAUUUGACUUCCUUGAAGAUCCAUUUGAUGAUUUUUUGGGGAGCCAAAGGGCCUCCUGAGGAAAUAAAAGCCGAGAUGCAGGCUCGUUUUUCUCUGCCUUCAGUGGAUUUCCUUCUUUUGGUAGUGGAUUUCCUGCUUUCGAUGCAGGAUUAAGUUCUUUCGGGUCACUAGGACACGGGGGUCUCACGUCAUUCUCUUCAGCACCAUUUGGUGGCAGCGGAAUGGGCACCUUCAAAUAAAUGUCAAUUUCUACUAAGGUAAUUAAUGGCAAAAAUAAAUUACUACAAAGAGAAUUGUGGAGAAUGGUCAAGAAGGAGUAGAAGUUGAAGAAGACAGACAGUUAAAACCCUUGACGAUAAAUGGUAAGGAGCACCUUGGAUAA